AUGAACGCUGGCGGCGUGCCUAACACAUGCAAGUCGAACGGAGUUUACAUGAAACCUAGUGAUUGUAAACUUAGUGGCGGACGGGUGAGUAACGCGUGGGUAACCUGCCCUGUACUGGGGGAUAACACUUAGAAAUAGGUGCUAAUACCGCAUAAGCGCACAGUGCCGCAUGGCACAGUGUGAAAAACUCCGGUGGUACAGGAUGGACCCGCGUCUGAUUAGAUAGUUGGUGAGGUAACGGCCCACCAAGUCAACGAUCAGUAGCCGGCCUGAGAGGGUGAACGGCCACAUUGGGACUGAGACACGGCCCAAACUCCUACGGGAGGCAGCAGUGGGGAAUAUUGCACAAUGGGGGAAACCCUGAUGCAGCGACGCCGCGUGAGUGAAGAAGUAUUUCGGUAUGUAAAGCUCUAUCAGCAGGGAAGAAAAUGACGGUACCUGACUAAGAAGCCCCGGCUAACUACGUGCCAGCAGCCGCGGUAAUACGUAGGGGGCAAGCGUUAUCCGGAUUUACUGGGUGUAAAGGGAGCGUAGACGGUGAGACAAGUCUGAAGUGAAAUCCCGGGGCUCAACCCCGGAACUGCUUUGGAAACUGCCUGACUAGAGUGCAGGAGAGGUAAGUGGAAUUCCUAGUGUAGCGGUGAAAUGCGUAGAUAUUAGGAGGAACACCAGUGGCGAAGGCGGCUUACUGGACUGUAACUGACGUUGAGGCUCGAAAGCGUGGGGAGCAAACAGGAUUAGAUACCCUGGUAGUCCACGCGGUAAACGAUGAUUACUAGGUGUCGGGGGUUUAUAAACCUUCGGUGCCGCCGCAAACGCAAUAAGUAAUCCACCUGGGGAGUACGUUCGCAAGAAUGAAACUCAAAGGAAUUGACGGGGACCCGCACAAGCGGUGGAGCAUGUGGUUUAAUUCGACGCAACGCGAAGAACCUUACCAGGUCUUGACAUCCUGCUAACGAGGUAGAGAUACGUUAGGUGCCCUUCGGGGAGAGCAGAGACAGGUGGUGCAUGGUUGUCGUCAGCUCGUGUCGUGAGAUGUUGGGUUAAGUCCCGCAACGAGCGCAACCCUUAUCUUUAGUAGCCAGCAGUAAGAUGGGAACUCUAGAGAGACUGCCGGGGAUAACCCGGAGGAAGGUGGGGAUGACGUCAAAUCAUCAUGCCCCUUAUGACCAGGGCUACACACGUGCUACAAUGGCGUAAACAAAGGGAAGCGAAACCGCGAGGUGGAGCCAAUCCCAAAAAUAACGUCCCAGUUCGGAUUGUAGUCUGCAACUCGACUACAUGAAGCUGGAAUCGCUAGUAAUCGCAGAUCAGAAUGCUGCGGUGAAUACGUUCCCGGGUCUUGUACACACCGCCCGUCACACCAUGGGAGUCGGAAAUGCCCGAAGCCGGUGACCUAACCGAAAGGAAGGAGCCGUCGAAGGCAGGUCUGAUAACUGGGGUG
rnacentral:rRNA from 1 species